rnacentral:piRNA from 1 species
UGCCAUGCUGGUAAUUGUGCUUCAUAGGC